CCUACGGGAGGCAGCAGUGGGGAAUAUUGGACAAUGGGCGCAAGCCUGAUCCAGCAAUGCCGCGUGAGUGAUGAAGGCCUUAGGGUCGUAAAGCUCUUUUACCAGGGAUGAUAAUGACAGUACCUGGAGAAUAAGCUCCGGCUAACUCCGUGCCAGCAGCCGCGGUAAUACGGAGGGAGCUAGCGUUGUUCGGAAUUACUGGGCGUAAAGCGUACGUAGGCGGUUAUUCAAGUCAGAGGUGAAAGCCCGGGGCUCAACCCCGGAACGGCCUUUGAAACUAGGUAGCUAGAAUCUUGGAGAGGUCAGUGGAAUUCCGAGUGUAGAGGUGAAAUUCGUAGAUAUUCGGAAGAACACCAGUGGCGAAGGCGACUGACUGGACAAGUAUUGACGCUGAGGUACGAAAGCGUGGGGAGCAAACAGGAUUAGAUACCCUGGUAGUCCACGCCGUAAACGAUGAUAACUAGCUGUUCGGGCACUUGGUGCUUGAGUGGCGCAGCUAACGCAUUAAGUUAUCCGCCUGGGGAGUACGGUCGCAAGAUUAAAACUCAAAGGAAUUGACGG
rnacentral:rRNA from 1 species